rnacentral:tRNA from 1 species
UGCCGGAUAGCUCAAUGGUAGAGCACCCGGAGCCUGAGAAACUCCGGCACGGUGAGGGUUCGACCCCCUCUCCGGCAA